ensembl:snRNA U1 U1 spliceosomal RNA
AUGCAUAUGUGGCAGGUGAGAGUCCAUGAUCAUAAAGGUGGCGGCUCUCUCUCUCAGUGAGGCUCAUCCAUUGCACUUCUGAUGUUGAUCUCUGUGCUUUCCUCAAAUGGAACAAACUCAACCAUAUAAUUUGUGGUAGUAUAGGACUGUGUUUACACUUUCUUCUA